rnacentral:misc_RNA from 1 species
UUUCCGUAGGUGAACCUGCGGAAGGAUCAUUGACGAGUUAGGGUCUUCUAGGCCCGACCUCCCAACCCUAUGUUUAUUGAACCUCUGUUGCUUCGGCGGACCCGCCUCACGGCCGCCGGAGGACCGCUGCAAGGCGUCCUCUGGCCAGCGUCCGCCGAUGGCCAACCACUUAAACUCUGAAUGAAUCGUGUCAUAUGUCUAAGUCUAUGAUUAAAUUAAAGCAAAACUUUCAACAACGGAUCUCUUGGUUCUG